AUUUUAGUGGCAGAAUAGUGCAUUAGAUUUAAACUCUAAUCAAGGUUUUUAACCCUAAAAUA
rnacentral:tRNA from 1 species